CCUCCAACUUCGGCUUGGCGCAGCGGUGGCGGCAGUUCUGGGCUCGCAGCCCGUUUCGGCCCCGGCCUGCGGGCGCCGCGGCGAACAGGGAAUAAACGAGUGAUCUAGAGGACAUGGCAUCUCAAAACGAGUCUCCACGGAACAUCCUGACUCUGGAAACAAAGGACUAUUCUGGCUGUCUCUGCCUUGCUGCCCCCUAAUGCAUGCUGUAUCACUGGAGUCCUGUAUGACCAGGAGAACACCUAACUGCAUCCACCUUCAUGACCCCAGUCUGCCCACAUGCUCUCCGACAAA